rnacentral:rRNA from 1 species
GACGAACGCCGGCGGCGUGCUUAACACAUGCAAGUCGAACGGUGAAGCGCCUUCCUUUUUGGUGGGUGUGGAUGAGUGGCGAACGGGUGAGUAACACGUGAGUAACCUGCCCCCUUCUUCUGGAUAACCGCAUGAAAGUGUGGCUAAUACGGGAUAUUCUGGGUCUGUCGCAUGAUGGGUCUGGGAAAGAUAUUGUUUCGGUGGGGGAUGGGCUCGCGGCCUAUCAGCUUGUUGGUGGGGUGAUGGCCUACCAAGGCGGUGACGGGUAGCCGGCCUGAGAGGGUGGACGGUCACACUGGGACUGAGACACGGCCCAGACUCCUACGGGAGGCAGCAGUGGGGAAUAUUGCACAAUGGGCGCAAGCCUGAUGCAGCGACGCCGCGUGAGGGAUGGAGGCCUGCGGGUUGUGAACCUCUUUCGCCAGUGAAGCAGGCCUGCCUCGUUUGUGGGUGGGUUGACGGUAGCUGGAUAAGAAGCGCCGGCUAACUACGUG